rnacentral:rRNA from 1 species
AGAGUUUGAUCCUGGCUCAGGAUGAACGCUGGCGGCGUGCCUAAUACAUGCAAGUCGAGCGAACAGAUAAGGAGCUUGCUCCUUUGACGUUAGCGGCGGACGGGUGAGUAACACGUGGGUAACCUACCUAUAAGACUGGAAUAACUCCGGGAAACCGGGGCUAAUGCCGGAUAAUAUUUAGAACCGCAUGGUUCUAAAGUGAAAGAUGGUUUUACUAUCACUUAUAGAUGGACCCGCGCCGUAUUAGCUAGUUGGUGGGGUAAUGGCUUACCAAGGCAACGAUACGUAGCCGACCUGAGAGGGUGAUCGGCCACACUGGAACUGAGACACGGUCCAGACUCCUACGGGAGGCAGCAGUAGGGAAUCUUCCGCAAUGGGCGAAAGCCUGACGGAGCAACGCCGCGUGAGUGAUGAAGGUCCUCGGAUCGUAAAACUCUGUUAUUAGGGAAGAACAAAUGUGUAAGUAACUGUGCACGUCUUGACGGUACCUAAUCAGAAAGCCACGGCUAACUACGUG